GAGAGGCGUGAUGAUGAUUUACCCAUUCUAUUCUGUAAGUAAUGGAUGAUGAAACAAACAUGCACUACCAUCUGAUCUCUC